rnacentral:rRNA from 1 species
UAGAGUUUGAUCAUGGCUCAGAUUGAACGCUGGCGGCAGGCCUAACACAUGCAAGUCGAGCGGAAACGAGUUAUCUGAACCUUCGGGGGACGAUAACGGCGUCGAGCGGCGGACGGGUGAGUAAUGCCUAGGAAAUUGCCCUGAUGUGGGGGAUAACCAUUGGAAACGAUGGCUAAUACCGCAUGAUGCCUACGGGCCAAAGAGGGGGACCUUCGGGCCUCUCGCGUCAGGAUAUGCCUAGGUGGGAUUAGCUAGUUGGUGAGGUAAGGGCUCACCAAGGCGACGAUCCCUAGCUGGUCUGAGAGGAUGAUCAGCCACACUGGAACUGAGACACGGUCCAGACUCCUACGGGAGGCAGCAGUGGGGAAUAUUGCACAAUGGGCGCAAGCCUGAUGCAGCCAUGCCGCGUGUGUGAAGAAGGCCUUCGGGUUGUAAAGCACUUUCAGUCGUGAGGAAGGUGGUAGUGUUAAUAGCACUAUCAUUUGACGUUAGCGACAGAAGAAGCACCGGCUAACUCCGUGCCAGCAGCCGCGGUAAUACGGAGGGUGCGAGCGUUAAUCGGAAUUACUGGGCGUAAAGCGCAUGCAGGUGGUUUGUUAAGUCAGAUGUGAAAGCCCGGGGCUCAACCUCGGAAUAGCAUUUGAAACUGGCAGACUAGAGUACUGUAGAGGGGGGUAGAAUUUCAGGUGUAGCGGUGAAAUGCGUAGAGAUCUGAAGGAAUACCGGUGGCGAAGGCGGCCCCCUGGACAGAUACUGACACUCAGAUGCGAAAGC